GCCGAAAUAGCUCAGUUGGUUGAGCGUUAGACUAUAGAUCGAAAGUCCAUGGUUCGAUCUCGGGUUUCGGCA
rnacentral:tRNA from 1 species